rnacentral:rRNA from 1 species
CCUACGGGGGGCCGCAGUGAGGAAUAUUGGUCAAUGGGCGCGAGCCUGAACCAGCCAAGUCGCGUGAGGGAAGACGGCCCUACGGGUUGUAAACCUCUUUUGCCGGGGAGCAACGGGCGCCACGUGUGGCGCCACUGAGAGUACCCGGAGAAAACGCAUCGGCUAACUCCGUGCCAGCCGCCGCGGUAAUACGGAGGAUUCAAGCGAUAUCCGGAUUUAUUGGGUUUAAAGGGUGCGUAGGCGGUCGGAUAAGUUAGAUGUGAAAUCUCGAGGCGCAACUUCGGAAUUGCCUCUGAUACUGUUCGGCUAGAGAGUAGUUGCGGUAGGCGGAAUGUAUGGUGUAGCGGUGAAAUGCUUAGAGAUCAUACAGAACACCGAUUGCGAAGGCAGCUUACCAAUCUAUAUCUGACGUUGAGGCACGAAAGCGUGGGGAGCAAACAGGAUUAGAUACCCGGGUAGUC